rnacentral:lncRNA from 12 species
AAAUACUCCAGCUCAUAAAUACUCGGUAUGGUAUGUAACCAGCACUCUCUGGUGCAGCUGAACCUUUUGUGUUCUCCUCAUGCUUCAUGCAGCUUUUCAUCUGUGCUGGAAUAAAUGAGAGUUCUGCCACACAUAGGACCCGCAGACCUUUGUUUCCCACAAGAAGAAAUGCAGAUGAUCACGUGGCACCAGCUCCUAGAGUUUCUCCGUUCCUCUAUGCUGGCGUCCUUGGCAGACAGAACGCCCUCCUGCCAUGAUCACUGACCCCUUGAGCCUUCACUUCCUUCUCCAAAACACGUUAAUGUUGCAAGCUACAGGGUUUGGAAGAGCUACCUGUUGUAAAUGGCAUCCAUGGAAAAAGCAUAUGGACUGACAAAGAGCUGAGGAUGCCUUAUCUGUUUAUGUUCCUGAAAUACUUUGUAGAGAAAACUAAAUUCUAUGACUAAAAUGUUCACUUAAGCCUUAUAAAUUUUGUAAACAUUCUCAAAUGCAGUGUUAACGAUUGUUCACAUAAGUUGCGCCAUCUGCUUAACAGUUAAAGACUUUACCUUCACACUGAAGCAGCAGUGAAGACAACACAUAGAGGAGGAACCUGCAGUCAAGAGCAGCUGACAGAUCAUCUAAAGACAGACUGGAAAAUUUGCCUGCUGGUAAAGAAACUCCUGAUGAAACUUUCAGGAUGCUUAGCACUUAGCACCCAACACUACAGUAUGCUUGCAGAAAUCAUGGGCUGAGAGGUAAAUGAUCAGUCAUCAGGACUUUCUGCUUGGACUUCUUUUCAUUUAAAGCCAG